rnacentral:lncRNA from 1 species
GGCCCCCUACCUUCUUUGAUCAUUGUCAGUUGAAUCAUGAGGUUCUGAGAGAAAGAGUCGCCAUUUUUAGACCUUUUAUUUUUUUUUUAGGUUUUGAAUUUUGAUGUUGGCUUAAUUAGCUGGAUUGCCACUUGUGAGGCAUUUCUUAGAAUGUGGACAUGUGGUGGGUUUAAGUUGGUUCGGGUUGGCCGGUUGGCGGUUCGUGAGCUUGGUAUUAUUCUUGACGAAUUUCGAUGCUGAAAGACUUGGAAACCAUGCUGUCGACCACGUCGAGAAGCUGAGUAACAUUCUGCUUUUACAAUGGCACCUCUUAAUAAAAGGAACUUAAGCCAUCUAAUCUAGGGCUUCCAUCAAAUCGUGCAGGCUGCAUGGAAGUCGCAUUUACCUUUGUUGUGAACAUCAUGAACACAUACACUAUUUGAAGGUUCAUGUUUACGUAGCAGUGGUGUUGCUGUCCAAUGUGGCGUGUUGUUCCAGCCUAUGGUGGUGAAAGAUAUCUGCAUCAAGUUGCUGUUCCUUGUGCAUCCAAGGUGCUGCUUUUGUGCUACAGAAGUGACAUCCAAUAUUGUGUUUAAUUGCUAUUUGUGUCUUCGCAGUUUACCUUUAUAUAUUGAGA